CUGCUUAUUGGUAGCACAUAUAAUAAAACAGGAAUAUUGCAGAGAAGAUUAGCAUGGUUCCUGCACAAGGGUACAUGCAAAUUCAUGAAGUCUUUCAUAUUUUU
ensembl:snRNA U6 U6 spliceosomal RNA